GGUUGGCUGGGCAGCUGUGGCAGCCGUACUCUGAGCUGUGAGUCAGGUUCAGGUGGUGAUAUUGUUGGAAAGUAGGUUGGAGUUGGAGUCUCCCAGUUCUACCCGUUGUCACUCAUGAAACGACAGCCAUCAGUACCAAGGGCACCCUGAAGCAAAGCAUGCAGGAAGCUGUACUUGUUCCUGCAGAAACAGGAUCUCAUUGACCACAUCUGACAUGACAACACAGGGCGGAAACCCAGUGUCUUUGGUAAGUGUAUGAGACCAGCUGCUGCUACAAGAGUUUAAAAAAAAAAAAAAAAAGUAAGAAAGAAUA